GGGUGUUUGCGGAGGGGCCGAUUUCGCCCUGUGUGGCCGCGCUGGGAGGACAGGAAGGCCGGGACCUGUUCCAAGCGCUCUGAGCCCGGUCCUACGGGAGGCUCGGGCCCCGGGCGGGCGGGCCAGGGCCGCGCAGGAAGUCAAAAUGUUAUCAGGAAAAUCAAACAAGCUGGGCCCCAAAGAAAGAAUUCCGCUUUUCAUUGAGCCUGAAAUAAAGGAAGUCCCAUGAAUCACAUCUUCCAAGAGCAGUAAACCCUGGAGGCUAAGCUAGAGUUUCUGUGAAGAUCACCUGAAGCAACACAUGAGGGAUGGAAAUCUGCAAAAUACUGGGGAUCCCUGGGUGGCUCAGCGGUUUGGCACCUGCCUUCGGCCCAGGGCAUGAUCCUGGAGUCCCGGGAUCAAGUCCCACGUUGGGCUCCUGGCAUGGAGCCUGC